GGGAAUUUUGUUGGGAUAUUUAGGGAUUCGGGGUAGCACGCGGAAUGGGGUUAUGGAGGGAACCUGGCAGGGAAACUCGUUCAACCAGUUUUAUUUCCCGUGGAAUUUUGCAACACAUCAGUGAAUUUCCAUGUCACGCUUCACGUGCAUCUUGGGCCUACUAUAUAAAACGUUGAGGGUUAACAGCUCAAGGUCAUUUGGCUUCACAAGGCAAGUUUUCAAGUCCUCCUCACAAGUUUUCCUUUCUACAUAAAGGUAUCGUACCGCUUGUUUAUAG